rnacentral:rRNA from 1 species
GACAGAGGGUGCAAACGUGUUCGGAAUUACUGGGCGUAAAGCGCGUGUAGGCGGCCCUGCAAGUCGGAUGUGAAAUCCCACGGCUCAACCGUGGAAGUGCAUUCGAAACUGCAGGGCUAGAGUCCUGGAGAGGAAGGUGGAAUGCUUGGUGUAGAGGUGAAAUUCGUAGAUAUCAAGCGGAACACCGGUGGCGAAGGCGGCCUUCUGGACAGUGACGUGACGCUGAGACGCGAAAGCGUGGGGAGCAAACAGGG